GUGUGUGUGUACAGUGUGUGUGUGUACGGUGUGUGUAUGUUUGGUGUCUGUCUGUCAUUACAGCAACUAUGGUCCUACAGUAGUGAGAGCUGUCUGUCAUUACAGUACAGUAUGGUUCUAUUGUAGUGAGAGCUGUCUGCCAUUACAGUACACUAUGGUCCUACAGUAGUGAGAGCAGUCUGUCAUUACAGUACACUAUGGUCCCAGUCAGUAGUGAGAGCUGUCUGUCAUUACAGCAACUAUGGUCCUACAGUAGUGAGAGCUGUCUGUCAUUACAGUACAGUAUGGUUCUAUUGUAGUGAGAGCUGUCUGCCAUUACAGUACACUAUGGUCCUACAGUAGUGAGAGCGGUCUGUCAUUACAGUACACUAUGGUCCCAGUCAGUAGUGAGAGCUGUCUGUCAUUACAUACACUAUGGUCCUACAGUAGUGAGAGCUGUCUGUCAUUACAGCAACUAUG
ensembl:lncRNA